rnacentral:piRNA from 1 species
UUGGAAAGCCGUAGAUUCUCUCCC